GUUGUUUAGUCGUGUCCGACUCUUCGUGACCCCAUGGACCAUAGCACGCCAGGCACUCCUGUCUUGCACUGCCUCCCGCAGUUUGGUCAAACUCAUGUUCGUAGCUUCGAGAACACUGUCCAACCAUCUUGUCCUCUGUCGUCCCCUUCUCCUAGUGACCUCAAUCUUUCCCAACAUCAGGGUCUUUUCCAAGGAUUCUUCUCUUCUCAUGAGGUGACCAAAGUAUUGGAGCCUCAGCUUCACGAUCUGUCCUUCCAGGGAGCACUCAGGGCUGAUUUCCUUAAGAAUGGAUAGGUUUGAUCUUCUUGCAGUCCAUGGGACUCUCAAGAGUCUCCUCCAGCACCAUAAUUCAAAAGCAUCAAUUCUCCAGCGAUCAGCCUUCUUUAUGGUCCAGCUCUCACUUCCCCUUCAUCGAUCAAUGCCUUGUCGUGGCGAAGGGGCUUGAAUAACUCAGAGAAGCUAUGAGCUAUGCCAUGCAGGGCCACCCAAGAUGGACAGGUCAUAGUGGAGAGUUUUGACUAAACGUGAUCCACCUGGAGAAGGAACUGGCAAGCCACUCCAGUAUCCCUGCCAAGAAAACUCCAUGGACAAAGACAAAAACCAAAAUAGCACACUGAAAAUGUGAGUUGUGUGUAUCUGAGCAGAGUUCAAAAUGUGGCAAACUUGUUGUAUGACUAUUGACCCACAUGCUCAACUAGCAAAUAAAAAGCCCUCGGUCACUGUGCUAUGUACUUGGAGGGGGGUUGAGGCUCCACAAGUGCUUCUUGAGGAAAAACGCUUGUGGAGCAUCACCAUCGCGGGGAGCAGUGAAGGAGGUGUUUCGCAAGAGGAGGAUUGGCCACCAUGCUGGAGGCUGCUGCCCUGAGGCAACUACCCCACCUUGCCUCAUGAGUGCGCCGGCCCCAAGGAAACAAUAAGCAAACUGCGUAAUUUUGCAAUUAUGCAAAAUUCUGCGUAAUUUUGCACACCUCCUAACUUUGUAAUGCUGUUCUCUAGCCAAGUAAUGUGUACAAAAUUUCACACACUGGUGUAAACUGCACAUAAAAAUGCAUCUAUUGGUGAUAAUAACAUGCAUAAAUACAUCAUACUGAGGGAAACUGCUUUUCAAAAAAUAUGUAUGUGUAUUGUGUAUAUUGGUAGAAAUUUGCACUAUAAAAUGUUGAUGAAUUUUCAAAAGAACUUUAAAAAAAACACAGAAAACCGAUGUAGAAAUGUUUAAAACGGAACUUAAAACUGGAAAAAUGAGAAAUUGAGAGAAAACUAAGUUGACAUCUUUGCCCAUCCCUAGUGGGUAGGCACUGGAUGAGGCCCAUUCAAAAGUAACUCCACCACCUGCCCAGCAUGAAAACAACAAUCCAAGUUCCCAGUGAGGAAGAUGGUGAAUGGCUGCUGAGUGGCCCUUCUUUGCCCCCGAGGCCAUUUGCCAGUGUUUGACCUGGCCAACCACUAAUACCAGACUUAGAUGACCACAUGGCUUUCCAGGAAAGUAAUAGGGAAGUGUGCCUAAAACCCCUCUUCAAAACUUACUGUGCCAAACCGUUUGCGCCAAUUACAUGCUAACAAUAAGAUAACGACAGAGCAAUAUAUUCUUUAUUUUCACAGAUAUUCCAUUUGAUGCCUUUUCAAAGUAUUAGACUACAUUAUUUCCUUCAGAGUUGCAUAUAUUGAUUGAGAUCAUAAAUUUAUUACUGCUCAUUGUUGUGUACAGAAAAUAUAUGUAUUAAAUCUUUGUAUGAAAGACAUUUAAAUAGGCAUGCUGUAUUCAAUCUCCUUAAAUGAAGUUAUGAAAUCCCCCUGCAAAAGCAAUUAAGGACGUAGAUAGAAUUCAUUUAUUGAUAACAGCUAUAUUACUUUGAUUCUUUCGACAGUUUCACCUUUCAAAAUGAAUGUCUUCAAGUUUUCAAAGUCAAUCCAUGGACGCCUUAGAUGUUUACAACAGACUAUGGGAAAAUCUUAUCUGCACGGAAGGGCUCAAGCAGCCCUUGAGGCCAGAUGUUGCCAAAAGCUAGAAGGGAAUUUGACUCAACAAAAACAACAUAUAUUGCAUAACCUCAAAUCACCAUUUCAGCAGAAGAGUCUUCAAGAAUCUUUUUUUUUUAAUACGUCAGUGCAGUGUGAUAGUUUUAAAACGAUUACUGUUGUGUUUAGCAAACUUUUCUCCAUUAAGCAUAAGUGGAGUUUCAGCUGCUGGGUUACAUCAUCCUGAAAUUUCUAUAGCAACGCCUCUUUUUUUAAGCUGUGAAAUUAAUGACAACAACAAGAAAACCUGAGUUGGUAUUGCCAUCUUAGAAUGUGAAGGAAUGUACAUUAUCCAUCCUUUAAAAGAAACAAAACCCCUGUGCUGACUGCCAAGAAUGAAAGUAUAAUUGCCCCACAGCAUUGUGAUCAGCUUGUGAUCAAAGAGCUAGCUUGAUGCAAGAUUUCUUCGGAACUGUUUUGUGUUUAUAAUAAAUAGAGCUUAUUUCAAGCUGGAGGAUGAAUAAACAUUUUUCUGCAAAAUGACCUCUUCAAAUUGUGCGUAUGCCCUUAUCCCAGCCUGUCUGCAUGAUAUGAAAAGGAAUUAAAACAAAUGGCUUCUAGCCAUUGGCAGUGGAGUUCAUUCACCUGAAAAUCCAGAAAGCAUUUAUCGCUUUAAAGGUCACAAUAAGAAUGCCCUCAACUAAAUUUAGUUUAUUCAGAACCUUAAACAUGCAGCCAACCAGUUAUUCCUGUGAUAGCCUACCAUUAUUUCUUCCUGGAAACCUAACCAGGAAGAUAUUUUCAUUUAUAAGAAUUCCACCACUUUCCCUCUGCACUUGUGACACAUCCUUGCAAUUACUCUCUUUGUAGUAACUCUGGACAUUCCCUAAUCCCCACCUGCUACCUAAGUUACUUCACUGUUCCUUCAUAUGUUUACCAGGUUCCUCAAUUCAAAUAUGAAUGCAAAUAUGUAAAGUUACGUAUGCAGCCCUGAUAUUUAGCAAGCAGGAUUAGGGUUUCGGGCAGCUGGUUAGUUAAAUAUUGUCAGCUGACUAUGCUAUUCAUGAACGUGGUAAAAUAUACCAAGCACUCAAGAAUGUUCUCACAUAGGUAUAUGCUUCCAUUUUAAUUGCAUAAUAAGCCCUGCUCACAAGUGACUUCCCCCAUGGUUCAUUCAGAGAAUAUGUAGAUGGGAAAGGGGGAGCUACAUUCACCAGCCCUACCACCAACUCCCUUUUCAGCUCCACCCCAACCUUCAUGUAUUGAGGAGGCUGCUGAAAUCAGAGGCUUGUAAAUGUCCUGACUGUAUUACCAUAGUGGACUUCAUGUUUCCCAUACAAAGGAUCCAAGAUUCAAGCACAGCUGAGAAGGCCUGGGGCCUAGGGCUGAGCCUCACCAGACAGCACAUUGCCAGAGGAAAUCCUCCUCCCAGACAUAAAGGUGGAGAGUGGAAUGUGCUCAGGCUUGUGGAAAUUCAUCCACACACCACUAAACCAUGGUUUAAUGUUACUUAUUAAUCCAGCUACUGAGAUUAUUGAUCCUUCUUUCUCAGUGGCCUUUUAUGCUAAACAGGAUCUUGAGCCCUUGUUCCCAUCUUAAUACCUAAAAUUCUUUAAUGAGCAAUAUUGGAGGCUGAGUUAUUACCUUCAAUGCUUCCUCAGUUCACAUUUUAGGGCUGAAACAAGACCCAGAACUGAAUCUUGGUAAGCCCUGGUUUUGGUUACCUCAAGUGAACCAAGAUCUUGGAAUGUUUUUAGUGGACUUAAAAUACCACCCAAAAGUCACACCUAUCUAAAUGUUGAUAUAAAUAUAUUCAAAGCAUGUAUUUGCUACAUUAGUAAUUGAUAUUUAUUUCAAUGAGAGCAAUAUCAUCGACAGCAUCAUCUCCAGCACUUCACUUGUUAACACUAUAUCUUCAUUUAGCUGAUUUGGGGGACACAGUCCAUAGUUUUAUAUCUGCCAUUAGAAAGUACUGGUGGGAAAAGGGAAACAAUGAAGGUAGAAUUCUGAAACAAACUAUACUGAAGUAGACCAUUUACUUCAAUUGGACUCUUCAGAAUAACUGGAGCAAGUAUUGCAGCCAACACAUUGUUUUGAAAGAAAAGCUGGAAUAGCAUUCCAUUUUUAGUUCAGUUAAUGUUACCUGCAUUAUGAAGACAAUUUCAGUCAGAUUCAAUGGCCUCAUUUUGAUAUAGUGUGAAAUGUACUUCAGAUUAGAAAUAGUGGUUGCUGUAGGUUACAAGAUAUUACUUUUUUAAAAAAUGGCUCUGCCUUUUUUUAUAGAGCUUACACAAUUCUGGCAAUGCGCUGUCUUCCAAAGUAGCUGUAAUCUCACAUUAGAACUGCAGACGAGAAAGAGAGUGGUUCUGCUACAAACUGAGAAUCUUUUGGCAUUAAUUCAAUUUUAGAUCCAUGCACUGUGCAGGGAUCAAACUGUAAAAAGAAAAGCCUAUAACCACAGUCACCUUAGGGGCUGUGCUCAGCUGCCAAAUACUUCUCUUUAAUGAGAUGCAAGAGUAACCAAAACUGAUUUCUAUUUAUGGUAUUUAUAUAUUGCCCAAAUAGCAAUAUCCUUUGGGCAGUUCAGAAAUUCAUUUACCUGUAAUGAGAUGGAUAUUCAAUUCAUAUGACUUUUUAUUCUUGUUCUACAGCAUGAUCCUGUUCUAUGCCAGGAUUCUCAAAUGUGAAGCAAAUCUCUCUAGAAGACAUAAGCUAUUGGCAGGGGAUGUGCAAAUUUUUGCUGAAUUCUUCAAGCGCCUGUUUGUGGAUAUCCACAUUUUUGCAGAAGAGUUGUUAAAAGCAAACACUUCUGCUUCAGACUACUGCUUUGGGAAGUAGGAACAGCCCAGAUGUGCUGCAAGUUAUGUCUCUGCAGGCUGAAGAAGAAAAGAAUGCUGCAGUUAGCAUUCAGAAAGUUAUCUCUCCAGCAGCAACAACUUUCUGUGUGAACACUUGCAUUCUAUACAAACUGGUAGCUUGAAAGAACACCCCCAGCCAUCACACACCAGGAAAAGUUCCUGCUCACCACUAAUGAGUUGAUUCUCUUCCAAUCAUGUCUUUGAGGCUUUCAGCAGAUGUCACCUCAUGAAUACAUUGACUGCAUCAGGGGUUUGCAAGCACAACUUCUGCACAUGAAGUUUGCUUCCAGAAAAUCUAACAGUAUACAUACCAAGGUGGUGUGUGAAUAGUCAUGUUUUCCCCAUAGAGUUGUUGUAAGUGAGUGAAGCACAUUCAUGAAUAGCUGUCAUCGCAACAUAAUCUGCUCGAAAAAAAGAUGCAUUGUAUAGAGAAAAUAUUUCUCUAUAACAUUUUGUUGGGUUGUAUACAGUUAAGUUCUAUACAGUAUAGGUCCAUUAAUUUCAGUGAGCAAUUUCCAGCUGCUUAGCUCCACCUGCUUGCCUCAGAGGAAAUUCAGUGGGUUCUGCUGCCUAAUAUGUUCGGGUUUUGCUAAAUUAGUAGCAUGAGAAACCAUCAGAUUGCUUCUUCACACAAUCAACUCUAGGACAAGCAAUUAACACUGGGCAGAAAGCCAAGGUCUACUUCUGCCAUAGUAACUGCGCUCUCAUUGGUUGAGUUCAGCACUGAGACCUGUUAUCAGAGAAAGCUAGCACAGUACGUGUGGGCGGUGAGUGUGGUCAGUGUAGGAGGAGAGGUGCUGUAUCGGUUGAGAGAGAGACAGAGAGGAAAGGAUUUAUUUUACUUUGUUUUUGAGUUCUAAAGUUGUACAUAGAAACUCUUGAUUUUCUUUUAUUUUAAUAAAUCCUGUAUAUAGUUUACUCUGCGUCCAGACGUCUAGUCAUUUAAGUUACCGCCAGAAGCUUCCGGAAAAACCUGCGCAAACUCUGCUGUGUUCAGGCUGAAGUUACACCUGACACUUAAAAACACUAAGAUAAUAGGCAGAGGUCAAAGCUCAGCACCAGAGAAGACCAAGGGGGAGGGCUCAACCUGCCAAAUGAAUCAUCCUGGCACGAUGAUAUUUCUGUUACAAGCCUGAAUGUAAUUUUUAGGCUGAAAAUCCCUUGUAAUCUGCUUUGAGAACCUGUCAGAGCCAUAUAGCAUAAACAUCCUAAAUAAGUAAAUAAUCAAACUUAUAAGUUUGCAGUAUCUGGUGUCUGAUUUUCUUAUGAUGUAGAUUGCAACAUAUACAUCUAGAUGUGAACAAUAGUAUAUUAUGAAUGAUA